rnacentral:rRNA from 1 species
AUUGAACGCUGGCGGCAUGCUCUACACAUGCAAGUCGAACGGUAACAGGCCGCAAGGUGCUGACGAGUGGCGAACGGGUGAGUAAUGCAUCGGAACGUGCCCAGUCGUGGGGGAUAACUACUCGAAAGAGUAGCUAAUACCGCAUACGAUCUAUGGAUGAAAGCGGGGGACCGUAAGGCCUCGCGCGAUUGGAGCGGCCGAUGUCAGAUUAGGUAGUUGGUGGGGUAAAGGCUCACCAAGCCAACGAUCUGUAGCUGGUCUGAGAGGACGACCAGCCACACUGGGACUGAGACACGGCCCAGACUCCUACGGGAGGCAGCAGUGGGGAAUGUUGGACAAUGGGCGCAAGCCUGAUCCAGCAAUGCCGCGUGCAGGAAGAAGGCCUUCGGGUUGUAAACUGCUUUUGUACGGAACGAAACGGCUCUGGUUAAUACCCGGGGCUAAUGACGGUACCGUAAGAAUAAGCACCGGCUAACUACGUG